UCGCAACCUAAAAGGGACGAGGACAAGCCUCCCAUCUAUCCGAACAAAAAGACUUUUCUUUCUUUCUUUUUUUAUUUUUAUAUAAAAAGACUUUGAGGUCUAGCUCAUUCGCUUCUUUAACAAGAAGACGAGCCGUGCUGCUAACAACUUUACUUUUAUUUAUUUUUACAAUAAAAAAAAACCGUACUGUCGAUUGUUGGUAGCGUUCCGGAGGGAUGCGGAAACACAGCCCGUUCCCGCUGCUGAAAGGUUACCAGCUACCAGCUACCAGCAACCUUCCAGCAAUCCACACGUACACGUACACGAACCGUGCUUUCGAUCCUUCGUGGCGUACCGGAACCACUUUAGGGAAAUUAUACGGUUCCCUAACAUUAGCACAGGGGCUUCGGAUGAGCUUCAGAAAGGCGUCUUACUCCGUUGAGGUUCAGGAUACAAGAGCUAACGAAAAUCGAACAACACAAUCAUGGAAUUGAUAAACACAAUUAUGCGCUUUUUUCAAAUGUCUUCAGAUACCAUCAAGAAAUCCUACAGACAUCCGAAACGCCGUCUCAAAAUACACUAGCGUAUUUAGCCCACCACGAAAAAUAAUUUGUGAUUUAGAAACUACAUUUAGAAGAAGCCUUCAGCUACAAAGUUUCUCUUCCGAAUCCAAUGUCCAAGUAGAGCAAACGCACAGUACCAUUAAAGAACCGAUCAAUACAAACAAACAAACAUUCGGAGAUUUUAGUUCACCAGAGUUAGUGAACAUAGUAACAGCCUUAUACAACGAUAACUGCACACUCCGCUAUUGGGUUCGCCGCUAACGAAAUAUUAUUCAACUGAUUGAAUACAACAGAAUAAAACCAUUUUCACAUUUCAACAUAAGAGAUGAAGAACGCUUACAAUAAAGUAUCUUAAAAAAAAUACAAAACACCCAUAGAGACAUGUAAAGAUACAAUGACAAUAAGGCAAACCCAUCAGAAAUAGAGACAGAGAAGGCAGUCUACGUAAAGAAAGGUGUAAAAAAAACAUAAGAUCCCAGAUUCAAUGCGAAAACAUGUAUGAAUAUCAAUAACAAUAGGGCAGUACCAAUAGACAUAACAGUCGAGAACAACAAAAACAAAUUUAACGAUCAAAAUCAUCAUUUUAUUGUCAUUACGGAAGUAACCAAUAACUAAAGUAAUCAUAAAAAGAAAGGAAAAAAGCAAUUAUCGCUAAUCCUACCAACAUUAGCAUUACUUAAAAUGAAAAGCUACGGCCAAGAAAUAGAAAUUACGUAUUUAAAUAGGCAACCAUUAUUGUUUUGUCAAAACCAAAUCAUGUAGAAUACAUUUCGGAACAUGAAAAUUAUAUUAACACACUAAUAACCCAUCUGUGGAUAUGCGAAACAACUAACAAUUACAUUUAAUGAACUAAAUCGUGUGAAGAUUAAACAAUUGUACUCGAACUUUAUACAAAUAGUACCAAAACAUUGACUUAGCUGAAGCAUCGAACUCAUCGGUCAACCGUGGAAGUGGAUAACUGGCAGUCCAGGUCGCUGAAUAUUUGCGUCUGAUUAACGCAAGACGAGAUAAUUAAGAGAAAACAUCCGCAUUCUACUGACAUUGAAGCUAUCAAGAGCCCAUAUUUAACAUCAACGGCAUGAUUCACCUCAUAGAAUUCAUCCAAAACACAGCAGUUUGGGCACUCGAAUCUGUUACCAAAAGUAAACUCCUCACAGCACCACACGAGAUGAGUUUGAUACGUUCCACACUAGCAGAACAAGGCGCCGUGAUAGACAUUCCCAGUACAUCCCAGUUAGAAACAGAACAAGCUUCAGAGCUAUAGCUGAACAUCUAAUAUUACUGAACAAUGGUAACAACAUCAGCUAACGGAGCAAAUGCGUUCCUAACAAUAGAACAAUCCAUGGGAUCUAUUUGAUCCAUGGGAGUUCUCCAACUGCACAGUUAUAAUUGGGAGAGAUACACCUUCUCAUCAAAAACGCCUUCGAUUACAUCGGAACCAUAUUGAGUGCCCAAGCAGCAAUACCGCCAAAUACCAAUAACCUUUGGCAACAAUGUCAUUAAUAGGAUGAUUCUGGAACAACGUUAAGCUUCUGCAAUUCAGCAACAUCGAUUACUGGAAGUGGAGUAUACCGAGAGGAACACUGAAUCCCAUCGUAACAAUGCUUACGUUCACAUUUUACCUCGUUAUUACUGCAGAAGAACAAUAGGGACCAUCGAUAGAGCAUUAAACUCUAAGAAAAGGCGAAUCGCAAAGCGAUACCUUAAACGCGUCUUCACCCGCCGGAGGAGUUACGUGCCCAGCUACUGCCACGUGUGCACGCGCUCCCCAGCAACAGUAACGCAACACUAAUGUGCUGCGUAUCCGGCAACAGCAACCUGAUUGCUAACCUGACGCAUAAUCGAUCGAACCAGCCAACAAGCCAGCCAACCAGCCAGCCAACCAGCCAGCCAACCAGCCAGCCAACCAGCCAUCCAACCAGCCAUCCAACCAGCCAGCCAACCAGCCAGCCAACCAGCCAGCCAACCAGCCAGCCAUCCAGCUAGUCAACCGACCCGUCAGCGAGCCAACAGUUCGUGAAACACUCCAUGAGUAAAGAAUAAAGUUUUGUUUAAACUAA